AAACCGCUAUUUUUUAAUCUUGGAUUUGGAUUUUGUUUCGGAUUUGGCUUUUAUCCUGUUUGAAAGAACAGUGGCUGCAGAGUAAUGGGUCUUCAAAGGAAACGAAGGGCAACCUUAGGACUUGCUAUUUGACAUGUAGUUUUGGAACAGAAGGGUUAGAUGCUUAGGGGCAAGUAAAUGACAUAUAAUAAGAGGAAGAGACUGCAAGAUAUCAAAGAGUUUUCGAACCCUAACCCAGAAACCAUAUUAUUAAAGAGGAAUAGAGUGAAAUAAUUCAUUUGACUUCGGCUUGGGUUGGUAUCGAGAAAGAAAAGAAAGGGGGCGAACAAUAACAGAUUAGUCUAUACUGUACUUAAUCAAAAGGCCUUUGCUCAAUUGUUAAGGUUGAGACAUAUCCUCUUUCAUGCUCCCUUCCCCCGUGUUGUUCAAUUGUUGGUAUUGUGAGUUGGGAUUUUGGGUGUUAGGGAAACCAUAAUUGGUACGGUUUAGGACCAAAAUUGGGAACGAGUGGUAUGGCAGUGGGUGUGGCUCUAUUGAAGUCCAUUAACUCUAUUAGAUUAGGCAAUUGGAUUUUCUAUCACUGUUGGAAUUGUAUUUAGUUUGAUUUUAGUUGGUUGAGUGAUUUGAGGGCAGCAAUUGGAUUUUCUAUCACUGUUGGAAUUUUAUUUAGUCUGGUUUUAGUUGGUUGAGUGAUUUGAGGGCGAAAAUAAUAUUACAACAAUAGGUCAAUGGCAGCCAGCGUAUAACUUUUGUUGAUGUCUAUUCUGAGUCAUGGUUCUCAUUCGUGGGCUUCAUGGGGUUGGAUCACUAAUGUGAAAACUAAUGUGAUUGAGUUCCUUUUCAACCUAAAAUCGAGUGUGCUUAAUGUGGCUGCACUCUUUGGGUUUUUUAAAUCCUAUCGGCUUUGUUUUUUCAUACCAAAGUACUGGAUAUUGUGAUGCAAGUCCAAUCAUCCAAAAAAUGGUCAAUUUUCUUUCAGGUGGUGUUAUGAAGAAGACAUAAUUUUCCUGUUAUUCUUCAAAAUCCAAAGAAAAGAACUAGUCAUGAAGGGCUAUUUAUUAAUUAUUGCUCUGUUGUUGGAUAUUGAAUUAGGAGCAUAUCACAUACUGCAAAUAUUUAUUAGCCACAUUGUAACUUUUGGUUUUUUGUUAAAGGAUACUGUUCUUAUAAGUGUUGCAAAUAUUCGCUCGACUCUACUCCUCACUCAAGCAUUGAGUCAACAUUGCUGUUAAGGACUCCAAAUGGCGAUAUGCGGCACCACCACGGACAAUGGCAAUUUGCAACUUUCAAUUCCUUGAAGCAUCUAUUUCUUUUUCAGAAGAGAAGUAGCCUGUUGCAUAAUUGGAAUUUGGAGCUGCGAUGGUGAUCGAUGGCAUUUAUUUUUUUUUUUGGUAAUGUUACCAAUAAAAAAGGAGUUAAUUUUGUGAUAUCUCUCUUUCAUGGACUCAUCUAAGUUUGUUGUAGAUAUUUCCUUUUGUUCUUGCUUUCCUAUUUUUUCUUUUGGCUUCUGACUGUUAAUUUCUUUUACAUAAUUUACCUUUUUUGAGUUUUCGGCGACAUCUGGUAGGAUUCGGCCUCAACCAGAGAUUAAGGUUGACCGUUGAGAUUCCGGCAAAAUUAGAUUAAGUUUCCAUCCUUCUUUUGUUGUGCGAUGUCUCAUCCCUCACAAAAAAGGCCAUAUCUUGAAACCCUAGCUCCCUUUUUACACAACUUGGUUGUAGUUAAUCACAAUAUUUGUCUUUAAUUUUGAUUAGUGAGUGGUUAAUAUCUAACUGGAAUGGAAAUAACAACACUAGAUUCACCUUUUUUUGUGCUAAUGAUGUUUUAUCAGCUGGAAACUCAUCUGAGUCAUCUUCAGGUGGGUUCCGUCAGUUUUCUUGAGGUGCACUUUCUUACCAAUGGUCCAUGUUGGCACCAAUUGUAGAGUUAAUCUAGAUCUCUUCGUGGAAUCCUCUGGUGCUAAGCAAUUUCUGCUCCAAUAUUCCCUGUGCUUAAUGGUUAGGUUUUGAUAUUUGUUUGAUUGGUAUAUAUGCUUGCUUGCUGAAAUUACAAGGAAAUAGAAGGAAUUAAUC